UUAAAAUUACCUUAAAAUCAUAUUAACACUACCUGUUUGUGGACAGUAAAAAUUGCAACAUAAUAAAGUAUUGUAGUAUUUACCCAAAUUUUGGGGUAGUAAAUCGGAUUGUGCUCGUGCACCAGAAAUUAUCCGGUCUCCUCUGGAGCUCAAAGCGACACAGACACAGGAGGUUAACCACCAACCUCCAACUGACUGCGUCUGAAUAUCAACAGCAUCUUCUAUGACCUCAAGAAACUGCCAUCAGAGCAUUCAGACGUUCCUGUGAACAGAAACUGGUCCUGAUCGACAGCUCUUCAGAUAUUGUGAAGAUAUCAGCUGCUUGUUUGAGGCUCUGCAACGUCAGCAUCAUGCAGUGUGUGCAACACAGCGCCCCCAGUGAGCUGUCCCCAUUUUUCGAGCAUUUUUCCCUGAGAAGAAAACUGGGAAAAGCGACCCAUAGAAGUGUGUUCUCAACCUCUGAAGUCCUUCCCUGCACCCCCUCCACCCCAACAUCUGCUUAAGCUCACUUUUCGGCAUUCCAGCUGACUUAGCAUCCUUUUCUGCAGAUGCUUCUGUAGCUGCACAAGAAGAGAAAAAAACAGCAGUCUAAAAAUAAAUAACAGCUUUGAGUAAAAGUGUGUCAGGGAAAGAGCGAUGACUUCUAUGUUCUGAAUUUCUACUGUUGAGUAGAAAAAUGAGACUGAGAUGAAGCUGUGAAUAAGAAUAAAACAGCAAAAAAUCUGCAGUUUAUGUUCACUUGUCAUGCACAGAGAUAUCACUUUUUAAUUAUUUGAACCGUUCUUGAUGUAAGGACACCAUCCAUUUUGGAUUUGGUUGUAAAAGAUUAUUUAGUAAGUAAUAUAUUGUGGUGAUUAAUCAAAUAAAAUAAAUACAUGAAAUUUUAUUUUACUAAAAACAUUUUAAUGCACAAAAUGCAAUAUGAUUUAAACAUGUCAAGUUUGAAGUACGAAAACUUUUUAAAGUGUAAAAAGAUGGGAAAUGAAACAUUUAACAUUUAAAAAAAAUUUAAAGGCAAUCUUCAUUAUAUUAUACUUUAAGUCUCAAGUUUGGAGAAGAUUCUGUAUGAAUGAUCACAGAAAAAAGUUAGUCCUCUGCAAAGAGAACAUGGCGUCCAUUAAGGAAGUUGAUGCAUGUAGUAGAUGUUUCCUGCUGAGGUAUUUGAGGAUAAACUCCAUUUCUAUUGUGUAGUAAAUGCACUGAGCCUGUGUCUUCUAGUUAAAGUAAUCCUACUCCU